rnacentral:rRNA from 1 species
GGCCGGUAUUUAGCUUUAGAAGAAAUUUACCUCCCAUUUAGAGCUGCAUUCCCAAACAACUCGACUCGUCGAAGGGGCUUUACACGGCAAAGGCAGGCGCCCACGUACGGGAUUCUCACCCUCUGCGAUGUCCUGUUCCAAGGAACUUAGACCGCCGCCUAUGCCAAAGCACCCUCUGCAAAUUACAACUCGGACUCCCAAAGGAGCCAGAUUUCAAAUUUGAGCUGUUGCCGCUUCACUCGCCGUUACUAGGACAAUCCCUGUUGGUUUCUUUUCCUCCGCUUAUUGAUAUGCUUAAGUUCAGCGGGUAUCCCUACCUGAUCCGAGGUCAAAGACGGUAAAUAGCUUUAUGGUCGCGCCCACGGCACCCCAAUGAACGCAUUGUACUGCGCGUUGAGGUGCCAGAGACCGCUGCCAAUGACUUUGGGGCGAGUCCACGCGCAAAGGCGGGACAGACGCCCAACACCAAGCAGUGCUUGAGGGUGUAGAUGACGCUCGAACAGGCAUGCCCCACGGAAUACCAUGGGGCGCAAUGUGCGUUCAAAGAUUCGAUGAUUCACUGAAUUCUGCAAUUCACACUACUUAUCGCAUUUCGCUGCGUUCUUCAUCGAUGCCAGAGCCAAGAGAUCCAUUGUUGAAAGUUGUAAUAAUUGAUUGUUAUCAGAACAGGUAAUGCUAAAUGCAAGUUGGUUCUUGAGUUCCAGCGGCGGGUAGACCCCGCCGAAGGAGAAUAAUAGGUACUCGUAGAGAAGGGUUAGGUCAGCCCCGCGCCGGUUUCCCGGACACGGAGGCGUCGCUAGAAAAUGACUGUCGCUCACGCCGAAGCGCUCACGGCAGCCAAAGGUAAUGAUCCUUCCGCAGGUUCACCUACGGAAACCUUGUUACGACUUUUACUUCCUCUAAAUGACCGAGUUUGACCAACUUUCCGGCUUGAGGUGGUCGUUGCCAACCUCCUCGAGCCAGUCCGAAGGCCUCACUGAGCCAUUCAAUCGGUAGUAGCGACGGGCGGUGUGUACA